CAGUAGCCGCGGGAAUACGUAGGUGGCAAGCGUUGUCCGGAAUUAUUGGGCGUAAAGGGCUCGCAGGCGGUUUCUUAAGUCUGAUGUGAAAGCCCUCGGCUCAACCGGGGAGGGUCAUUGGAAACUGGGAAACUUGAGUGCAGAAGAGGAGAGUGGAAUUCCACGUGUAGCGGUGAAAUGCGUAGAGAUGUGGAGGAACACCAGUGGCGAAGGCGACUCUCUGGUCUGUAACUGACGCUGAGGAGCGAAAGCGUGGGGAGCAAACAGGAUUAGAUACCCCGGUAGUCCCUGUCUCUUAUAC
rnacentral:rRNA from 1 species